rnacentral:rRNA from 1 species
UUAGGAAUUUUGGGCAAUGGCCGCAAGGCUGACCCAGCAACGCCGCGUGGGGGACGAAGGCCUUCGGGUCGUAAACCCCUUUUCCGGGGGACGAUGAUGACGGUACCCCGGGAAUAAGCCCCGGCUAACUACGUGCCAGCAGCCGCGGUAAUACGUAGGGGGCGAGCGUUGUCCGGAUUCAUUGGGCGUAAAGCGCGCGUAGGCGGCUUCGCAAGUCGGCCGUGAAAUCUCCGGGCUCAACUCGGAGGGGUCGGGCGAGACUGCGGGGCUCGAGGUGGGCAGAGGGCAGUGGAAUUCCGGGUGUAGUGGUGGAAUGCGUAGAGAUCCGGAGGAACACCAGUGGCGAAGGCGGCUGCCUGGGCCUGGCCUGACGCUGAGGCGCGAAAGCGUGGGGAGCAAUCCG